UGACCUCAAAUCAGGUAGACUACCCGCUGA
rnacentral:rRNA from 1 species